rnacentral:rRNA from 1 species
GUACCCCCCGCCACGCAC